rnacentral:rRNA from 1 species
GACGAACGCUGGCGGCGUGCUUAACACAUGCAAGUCGAACGGAAAGGCCCUGCUUUUGUGGGGUGCUCGAGUGGCGAACGGGUGAGUAACACGUGAGUAACCUGCCCUUGACUUUGGGAUAACUUCAGGAAACUGGGGCUAAUACCGGAUAGGAGCUCCUGCUGCAUGGUGGGGGUUGGAAAGUUUCGGCGGUUGGGGAUGGACUCGCGGCUUAUCAGCUUGUUGGUGGGGUAGUGGCUUACCAAGGCUUUGACGGGUAGCCGGCCUGAGAGGGUGACCGGCCACAUUGGGACUGAGAUACGGCCCAGACUCCUACGGGAGGCAGCAGUGGGGAAUAUUGCACAAUGGGCGGAAGCCUGAUGCAGCAACGCCGCGUGCGGGAUGACGGCCUUCGGGUUGUAAACCGCUUUCGCCUGUGACGAAGCGUGAGUGACGGUAAUGGGUAGAGAAGCACCGGCUAACUACAUG